rnacentral:siRNA from 1 species
UGAGGUCGAGUGGUUUGGCAUGAU